AAUAAAUCAAUCUUUCACUUUUUAUCUAUAAUGUUUGACUUUUCAUUUUAUUUGAAAAAAAUUUAUGAUUAACAUUUUUUAUUAGAUGAUAAAUCAUGAAUAGUACUUUAAAUGUGACUAAUUUUUUUAAAUUUUUUUAAAUAAAACGGAUGGUCAAACGCUGAACACGAAAACU
rnacentral:pre_miRNA from 1 species